rnacentral:rRNA from 1 species
ACAGUGGACGCGAGCAUCUUGUUUUUUGUGGUUAAGUUGUCAAGGGCGAACGGUGGAUGCCUUGGCACCAGGAGCCGAUGAAGGACGUGGGAGGCCGCGAUAGGCCUGGGGGAGCUGCCAACCUAGCUGUGAUCCCAGGGUGUCCGAAUGGGGAAACCUGGCACGAGUCAUGUCGUGUCAUCCAUGCCUGAAUUCAUAGGGCAUGUGAGGGGAACGCGGGGAAGUGAAACAUCUCAGUACCCGUAGGAAGAGAAAACAACCGUGAUUCCGUGAGUAGUGGCGAGCGAAAGCGGAUCUAGCCUAAACCUU